UGAAGUUAUGAGGAUGUGACGGCGUCUUCAGGUCAGAUGCACACAGACACCAGGACUGACAAGGAAGAAAUGAGCAGCUUCUUCGCUCCACACAUGAAGGUGGAAAGUGUCUGUAAGUUGACCUGAAGUGAGUUCAGCAGGAACCAUAAGAAGAGACCAGACUCUCCUGAACCCAGAUUUGUGUCCAUGAAUGAUGGACACCACUCAGCUGAUCAAAGACUUUAUCAGGAGAGUGUAGAUGUUCUCAGUGGUCAGUCUGUCCAGAAGUACCAAACAGACCUGGACUCUAUAUUUGUGCUGCUGGAGGAAAACAUUGUCAGUUUUGUUGAAGAACAAGCUGAAGAAGUUCCACAGAGUUCUGAGUUCAGAUUACCCAGAAUGCUUAGAGUCAGAAGGCGGACGAGGAGGUGUUGGACGGUGAGGAGGAAGAGCAGAGGAUGAGCAGCAGAGAGGCAUUUCUGAAGAUCACUCUGCACUUCCUGAGGAGAAUAAAGCAGGAGGAGCUGGCUGACUGC